AAUGAACGUUGGCGGCGUGGAUUAGGCAUGCAAGUCGUGCGAGAAGUCUUUUGCUUGCAUUAGACGGAAAGCGGCGAAAGGGAGAGUAACGCGUGGGUACCUACCUCUAGGUUCGGGAUAGCUGCGGGAAACUGUGGGUAAUACCGAAUAACAUCUCCGGAUCAAAGGUGUGAUUCCGCCUGGAGACGGGCCCGCGUCCUAUUAGCUUGUUGGUGGGGUAAUGGCUUACCAAGGCAAUGAUGGGUAUCGGGCGUGAGAGCGUGACCCGAUUCACUGGGACUGAGACACUGCCCAGACACCUACGGGUGGCUGCAGGCGAGAAGCUUCGGCGAUGGGCGGAAGCCUGACCGAGCGACGCCGCGUGCGGGAUGAAGGCCCUCGGGGUGUAAACCGCUGUCAGUUGGGAGGAAAUCACAUGGGGUUCUCUCCAUGUGUUGACCUAUCUUCAGAGGAAGGACGGGCUAAGUUCGUGCCAGCCGCCGCGGUAAUAC
rnacentral:rRNA from 1 species